UGAAGUUGAAGUCCAAUCAACUUGCAACUUAGUACACAUGUUCCCCAUGAUAUGAUCUUUCUAAUUUUAAUGCCAAAUUAAAGUUUUGACCCCAAUUUCACGGUCCACUGAACAAAGAAAAUGAUAGUGCAAUGUUCAGGUUAAAGUUUUGGUUAAAGUUUUUGGUCAAGGUAGUUUUUGAUGAAGUUGAAAUCACAUCAACUUGACACUUAGUACACAUGUUCCCUAUGAUAUGAUCUUUCUAAUUUUAAUUCCAAAUUAAAGUUUUGACCCCAAUAUCAUGGUCCACUGAACAUGGAAAAUGAUAGUGCGAG
rnacentral:lncRNA from 1 species